rnacentral:lncRNA from 1 species
GGCCGGAAAAGAGGCAUAAACUCGGAGAACCCAAGACCCCGGCCUGGCGUGCAGCCCCAGCAGCCGGACCAGCCUUGGGCAACAGCGUGCGACGUUCAGCUGUCUGUGUCUCCAGUGCUCCCAUUCCAUCGCACCUGAAUGAGGGAUUUGGGAGAGAGACACAGCCUCUCGUCGGAACGCUCCUGCACACCCUUCUCGCAACCCCCACCACCUGCCCCCCACUCCCGACCAGAGCAGCCGCCGUCCUGGUGUCUCCCAUCAGAGGGCUGAGCGUGCGUUCGAGCUUCUCCUGCAUCAUGACCAGGAUGCUCUGGGACACCUUGUCCACGUCUGUGUCCACCAGUCCUGCUCAGAAUCUCCCCAGGGGCUUUUCCACGAUGCCCAUCCAGGCGUCACCCUCACUCUAGGCCAGGAGGAGAAGGCAUGCCCUGAGGAUUCAGCCUCUUCUUCUUCAUCCCUCCCAGCACCCAGUGUGUUGGGUGCACACACAGGUGUCGGGCCCCAGGCUGGAGGCCACGUGCCAGGCUGGCAGGAUUUGUCCACUGUGAAGCUCGACGCCCCCGCAGGCCCUGUGCUGCCCGCCCGGAUCCCCCUGCCUCAGGAUGCCCUCCACACCCUCCGAAUUCCCAGCCGCUGCUCUGGGGCCUGCACAGAGGGCUUGGGCCCAGCACCUGGAAACUCCAAAGAGGCAAACGGGUUCAUGUCCAGGUUUUGUCAGAUCGCUUCCGAGGCUGCCCUCUUCGCCGUGGCUGCUGAGUGCAGAGCUGGGCAUCUGAGUGGACAGAGUGGUGCUCCGCUUCCUUGCAUCUCCUGGGCCAUGCGUGGUGACCUGUGCCCACUGCAUCGCUCCUGUGUGCCCUGUGCAUGUGACCGUGUCUUUCCCGUGUAUUCAGUGCUGCUUCAUGUCUUCCAGUUCCGCUUUGUGGUUUGUGAGUGACCAGUGCAUCCCGUUCCUGCUGCAGCAGCUGCAAUGUGCACUGUCCUGCAGGAAGCCCUCGGGGUAGGGCCUGGGGGCUGUGGGAAGCUCAGCAACAAGUGCUCCAUUAUGCCAGGAGGUCUCCUCAGGAUGAGCCCCAUGUGCAGCCUACAUUGUGCUACUCUCUCAGAUCCAGUGUGCAGCUCUCCUCCUGGGACUUCCCUCCACAACUUUUCUCAGUUGAAUCCACUAUGUGUUGGAUCCCAGGUCUUCCUCUUUAUUUUCUCCUUCAUUUUGCUGGAGCACAUCCUCAAGUAACUUUCUAAAAUAAGUUUAAACAGGUAAAUGUUUUGGAAGGUUGAAUGCCACAAAACAUCUUUAUUCUACCUUCAUACUUGACUCAUAAUAUUGCUGGAACCAAUUUCUAAGUUCAAAAUCAUUUUUCAGGAGCUAGGAAUUGAACUCAACCUAUCUAAUUCCAAAAUUAGGGUUAUUUUAUUUGACACGAUCUCUGGCUAGGAAGCAAGCACAACAGCUCCACCGUUAUUGGCAAGUUACUGAAAGCAACCCUUUGACAGCAGCCGCAGAUCCACAGCCAUACAGAAUUUUCCUUUUUAAACAAGUUGCUCACCAUUAGGAUGCUCUGAUUUCUCCAUUUGUAAAAUGAAGAUUCUCUGUCAACUUUUGGUUUUAGUUUUUGGUCUGGCAUAUUUGGUAAGCUACAAGUGAUCUUUGGCUGAAAAUCAGUCAUGUGUGGCGGGUCGUUUCACCAGGUGCCCUGCACCCAGAGAUCUAGGGCCCUCAAUCGUCCUUCAGUUGCUGUCAGUGCAAGGGCAAUCUCACCCAACCCUCCACAGGGAAAGGCAACUGCCACACGCCUCUGAGAGCAGGGAUGCAGCAAGCGCUGACUCUGGGCUUACAGGGGUCCCGCCCAUAACAGCGCACCACAGACCAGGGCUCACCCCACAAACAUUUUUCUCGCUCAGUCCUGGAGGCAGAAAGGCCAACAUCAGGGUGCCAGCAUGGCUGGCGUCUGGUGAGGCUCUCUUCCUGGUUUGCAGACUGUUGCCAUGGUAUUGUGAUAAUAACAAAAUAUAGAUUUGGUCUUCGUCCCAGAUUCCCAACACCAGAGCUUCUAAGAGACCUGGAACCUCUUGAGUGAUGAGCGUGUCUUUUGUGUGCUGACGAGAGGACAGAGCUGGUGACCCUUGGGCAGCUUCAGGAAGGGACUGCUCCCCAGAAAGACCAAGGCAGGACUUAUAGGUGAGGACUUUCAGAUCCACCCCAACCUCCAGGAAGCGGGAGGGGAGAGAGGACAGGAGCUGAAGAUGGAACUGAUUACCGAUGGCCAAGAAUUUAAUCCAUUAUUCUGUUAAUGAAAAACCAAACUCUGUAAAACAUUUUAAAGAGGUUUAUUGGGACCCCUAAUACGGUGACCACAGCUUGGAGAAAAAACAAACCCAAGAAGCCUAGAGUGAGUGUUCCUGAGGUGCCUGGAUUACAGUCUGGCUUCAUGCACUUUAGGGGACAGGCGUUACAGGUGGACGAGAUAUAUAUUGGCUCAGCUCGAACACGCGGGAUAUCUGGAAGCAAGCCUUAUCGGUUAUAGGUGGAUUCAGAGAGUCUUCAGUUUGCGGCUGGUUAAAGGAGCAAAGCUUUAUCUAAAACCUAGAGUCAGCGAUGAGGACAUCUGCACCCGAAACAUGGGGCAGGGGUGACUAACAGGGUGCAUGACUUGACUUAACCCUCGUCUGACAUGGUCUUGGGUCCUGUUUGUAACUGGGGCUCUUAUUGCCACGGUCAGUUCUGUCAGCCUUCUGAUCUCUGUUUUGACAUUAAUGCCUAAAUUCCAAAGGG